rnacentral:rRNA from 1 species
UACGAAGGGGGCUAGCGUUGCUCGGAAUCACUGGGCGUAAAGGGUGCGUAGGCGGGUCUUUAAGUCAGGGGUGAAAUCCUGGAGCUCAACUCCAGAACUGCCUUUGAUACUGAAGAUCUUGAGUCCGGGAGAGGUGAGUGGAACUGCGAGUGUAGAGGUGAAAUUCGUAGAUAUUCGCAAGAACACCAGUGGCGAAAGCGACUUCCUGGACCAAUACUGACGCUCAUGUGCGAAAGCGUGGGGAGCAAACAGG